UACAGAGGGUGCGAGCGUUAAUCGGAAUUACUGGGCGUAAAGCGUGCGUAGGCGGUUUGUUAAGUCCGUUGUGAAAGCCCUGGGCUCAACCUGGGAAUUGCAGUGGAUACUGGCGAGCUAGAGUGCGGUAGAGGAUGGUGGAAUUCCCGGUGUAGUGGUGAAAUGCGUAGAGAUCGGGAGGAACACCUGUGGCGAAGGCGGCCGACUGGGCCGACCCUGACGCUGAGGCGCGAAGGCGUGGGGAGCGAACGGG
rnacentral:rRNA from 1 species